CCCUUAGAUGUUCUGGGCCGCACGCGCGCUACACUGAUGCAUUCAACGAGUUCCUACCUUGGCCGAGAGGCCUGGGCAAUCUUUUGAACUUGCAUCGUGAUAGGGAUAGAUUAUUGCAAUUAUUAAUCUUGAACGAGGAAUUCCUAGUAAACGCAGAUCAUCAAUCUGCAUUGAUUACGUCCCUGCCCUUUGUACACACCGCCCGUCGCACCUACCGAUUGAAUGGUCCGGUGAAGCCUCGGGAUUGUGGUUAGUUUCCUUCAUUGGAAGUUAGCCGCGAGAACUUGUCUAAGCCUUAUCAUUUAGAGGAAGGUGAAGUCGUAACA
rnacentral:rRNA from 1 species